rnacentral:lncRNA from 1 species
CGGAACCAAACUCAAUGGUGGGAAGCAACAGCUACACUCUUCUUGGCAUGGCUCUGGCAAGUCCCAGUUGCUUGGAGAAGUUUCCUUCCUGUUUUCCUGGUGGACCCCACCUGGUUCGCUUCUACAAGGUGCUGCUGCAUCACUGAGUGGACCCCAACAUUCCACCUUGUUGAAUUCUGGAAUGCUAGAGUGGAAGUAAACCCAAACCGAAGCCUCCUGCAAUUCUGG